rnacentral:tRNA from 1 species
GCCUGGGUGGCUCAGUCGGGUAAGCAUCUGACUUUGACUCAGGUCAUAAUCUCAUGGUUCAUGGGUUCAAGCCCCGUGUCGGGCU